rnacentral:rRNA from 1 species
UACGGGGGGGGGCAAGCGUUGUUCGGAAUUACUGGGCGUAAAGGGCUUGUAGGUGGCCAACUAAGUCAGACGUGAAAUCCCUCGGCUUAACCGGGGAACUGCGUCUGAUACUGGAUGGCUGGAGUGUGGGAGAGGGAUGCGGAAUUCCAGGUGUAGCGGUGAAAUGCGUAGAUAUCUGGAGGAACACCAAUGGCGAAGGCAGCUCGCUGGGACGUGACUGACGCUGAGACGCGAAAGCGUGGGGAGCAAACAGG